rnacentral:rRNA from 1 species
UGGGAUCUUGCACAAUGGGGGCAACCCUGAUCUAGCCAUGCCGCGUGAGUGAUGAAGGCCUUAGGGUCGUAAAGCUCUUUCGCCUGUGAUGAUAAUGACAGUACCAGGUAAAGAAACCCCGGCUAACUCCGUGCCAGCAGCCGCGGUAAUA